rnacentral:rRNA from 1 species
AGCGAACGCUGGCGGCAGGCUUAACACAUGCAAGUCGAACGGGCACCUUCGGGUGCCAGUGGCAGACGGGUGAGUAACACGUGGGAACGUACCCUUUGGUUCGGAACAACCCAGGGAAACUUGGGCUAAUACCGGAUAAGCCCUUACGGGGAAAGAUUUAUCGCCGAAGGAUCGGCCCGCGUCCGAUUAGCUAGUUGGUGAGGUAACGGCUCACCAAGGCGACGAUCGGUAGCUGGUCUGAGAGGAUGAUCAGCCACACUGGGACUGAGACACGGCCCAGACUCCUACGGGAGGCAGCAGUGGGGAAUAUUGGACAAUGGGGGAAACCCUGAUCCAGCCAUGCCGCGUGAGUGAUGAAGGCCCUAGGGUUGUAAAGCUCUUUCAGCGGGGAAGAUAAUGACGGUACCCGCAGAAGAAGCCCCGGCUAACUUCGUGCCAGCCGCCGCAGUAAUAC